rnacentral:rRNA from 1 species
CCUACGGGUGGCUGCAGUGAGGAAUAUUGGUCAAUGGCCGGAAGGCUGAACCAGCCAAGCCGCGUGAAGGAUGAAGGUUCUAUGGAUCGUAAACCUCUUUUAUACGGGAAUAAAGUGUGGGACGUGUCCUGUUUUGUAUGUACCUUAUGAAUAAGGAUCGGCUAACUCCGUGCCAGCAGCCGCGGUAAUACGGAGGAUCCGAGCGUUAUCCGGAUUUAUUGGGUUUAAAGGGUGCGUAGGCGGCUUUUUAAGUCAGCGGUGAAAGUCUGUGGCUCAACCAUAGAAUUGCAGUUGAAACUGGGAGGCUUGAGUAUGUUUGAGGUAGGCGGAAUGCGUGGUGUAGCGGUGAAAUGCUUAGAUAUCACGAAGAACCCCGAUUGCGAAGGCAGCCUGCCAAGCCAUGACUGACGCUGAUGCACGAAAGCGUGGGGAUCAAACAGGAUUAGAUACCCGGGUAGUC